AACGAACGCUGGCGGCAGGCUUAACACAUGCAAGUCGAACGCUCGUAGCAAUACGGGAGUGGCAGACGGGUGAGUAACACGUGGGAACGUCCCCCUCGGUUCGGAAUAACUCAGGGAAACUUGAGCUAAUACCGGAUACGUCCGAGAGGAGAAAGAUUUAUCGCCGAGGGAUCGGCCCGCGUCUGAUUAGCUAGUUGGUGAGGUAACGGCCCACCAAGGCGACGAUCAGUAGCUGGCUGAGAGGAUGACCAGCCACACUGGGACUGAGACACGGCCCAGACUCCUACGGGAGGCAGCAGUGGGGAAUCUUGGACAAUGGGCGAAAGCCUGAUCCAGCCAUGCCGCGU
rnacentral:rRNA from 1 species